rnacentral:tRNA from 1 species
GGGCUGGGGCUCAGUGGUAGAGUGCUUGCCUAGCAUAUGCAAGGCCUUGGGUUCAAUCCUCAGCACCACG